CGGGCACGGCUCGGCGUGGUGCGGGUGCUCGAAACCGAACCCGGAUUCAGGUUCGUCGUCGUACGACUUUCCGGAUGCCGGUGGAGUGGCAGGACGGAACACUUCAUCCUACAUGAGAACGCAAAAGAAGGCGCACGCCCCUCACGGCUGAGUGCAAAGCUGCUCCCGAGGGUGAAAGCGCUGCAACCACGGCGAUCACCAGGGCAACACGAUCGCUGACCCGACAACACGCACGCUCCCCGGAGGGCUGGUUGGGCUGGUGGCCAUAGCCGCCGCCCUGCAGACGCGACUCAUAAACGAUCGGGCAUUGCCUCGCAGGUUACCCGUAUACACGACGCCCGCACCGAGGGUGAAGAUUCGGCGCAAAAAAA
rnacentral:lncRNA from 1 species